GAAGAAUAUAUAAGUAAUAUUUUUGAGUGUCUACCAUCUAACAAAUUACAAAUACAAAAUGAUAAGAAAUUUUUAAUUGAACGCUUUUGUGAUUUUUUUGUUUAUUAUAAUUGCCAUAAAUUUCUAUUAACAUUAAUAAAAAAGCAAUGUGAAAAUAAAAUAAAUUUAUUUUUUACAAACUUGGAUACACAAAUAAAUAAUAAAGAGUUUGAAGUUGCAGAAACCUUUUUAGAAUAUUAUAUCAAUACUUGGAAUAACUUUGUAUCUGUUAUUUUACAUUUAGAAGACAUAUUAUCAUCUUUUUUUUUAUAUAAUAAAAUUCCUUUUAAGUGUAAAAAUAAACCUGUUAAUAUAUUUGUUAAUUUAUGGGAAUUGUAUAUGCACAAAUUUAUAAAUAUCAAACGCUUAUUUAUGUUAAGUAUUUGUGAAUAUUUAAAACAGGAUAGAAAAUUUAGCCAACAAAAUUUUUAUCAGUAUAUAUGUAUGGAUGUAUAUGAAAAUCAAGUCGAGUAUAAAGAAAUUGAAGAUAAUAACUUUAGCACAUUUAACUGGGAUAAAUGGACGAAUAAUGAUUAUUUCAAAAGCCCUUUUACUGAAUUAAAAAAGGAAGUGCUUGAUAUUAUAAAUGGAAAUGAUGAUGGGCGUUUUAUGAAAGCAGUAUCACUUUAUGAUAAUUAUCACUGUGAUAGGGUUACCAUGGAUUCUUUAAAAAAAACAUCAGACAAUAAUAGUAAUGUCACGCAGGGUAAUAAAAUAAUUAUUGACAAUGUCAGUAGUAAUAAUAAUAAUAAUAAUAACGACAAAAAUAGUAAGACGUAUAAAAUAAAAAAUGAACUACUAAUAUUAAGUAAAGGUAUAUUAGAUAAAUUAUCUUUGUAUAACGAGUUUGAAGGUAUUUAUUUAAAUGAAGCCUAUACAUAUUAUGAAAAAAUUGUAACAGAUUAUGAUAUAUUAAUAAAAGAGUGUGGUAAGAGUGACAGCAAUAGUAACCAUUAUAUACAUGAUUUACCAAUUAUAAUUGAAAAAACAUUAUGUCAUGAAUAUAUAAGAUGCUCUAGAUUUUUAAAAUCUCGUACCCAAUAUUACUUGAUAAAAAUAUUAAAUAAACUUUUAGUUAUUAAUCUUAAAGAAAAAUUAUUUGAUGAAGAAUAUAUUAAAGAUUGUAUUAUCAAUGAAAAAUAUGAUUCUUUACGUAUCUUACAUAUAUUUUCUGACAAUUUGAACAUAGAAACAGAAUUUGCUAAUUUAUUUUUUAACGCUAGUGUACACUUGGGUGUUAAUUUAAUUAGUAAUUUAAUAAAUAAAAGAAAUGACAUUAAUCAAUUAAAUAAUUGUGUAAUUCAAUUAGUUAAUUUAAAACUAAACAUUGAUAGAUGUAUCAUAAUAGCAUUCCAUUCUUCUGAUGCUUUUAAAAAAAAUUGGAAAAAAAUAUUUGAAUGUAUAUUAAAUAAAGGGACCCAGACUGAACAUUAUAUGCCUAUUAUACUUAGUUUGUAUUUAAAUAACGCACUAAUGAUAUAUAAUGCUUGUUUAAAUAAAAUUUUUAAAAAUAGUACAAAUAAUUAUAAUUUUCACACAUCAGAAAACACAGAAUAUAAUUUAUUUUAUGACCCAGAGUGGUCUAAUAUGUAUAAAGAAAAAUAUUUUGCUUCCAAAAAAAUCGAGGAUACUGUUUCAACUGAUUCGGAUAGUAUAUACUUUGUAAAAAAAAUGUUAAGAAAGAAAAAAAAAAAAAAAAAAAAAAAAAAAAAAAGUAACACCAGUAAUGUACUCAUAAAAGAACCCGACGGGUUGUGUUCUAACAAUUAUAACAAUAGCAAUAGUUGCAAUCGUGAUAAUUUUAAUGAUUACACUUUUAAUAAUGACGAACAAGAUAAGAUAUUACAAAUACAUUUAAAAAAAAUGGAAGAUAGGAUUUACAAAUACCGUGCUAUAUGUAAUAGAACCAUCAAUCUUAUAUUAACUAUUAUUAGUCUAUUCAAA
rnacentral:lncRNA from 1 species